rnacentral:rRNA from 1 species
AGCGAACGCUGGCGGCAGGCCUAACACAUGCAAGUCGAACGAACUCUUCGGAGUUAGUGGCGGACGGGUGAGUAACACGUGGGAACGUGCCUUUUGGUUCGGUAUAACUCAGGGAAACUUGUGCUAAUACCGAAUGUGCCCUUCGGGGGAAAGAUUUAUCGCCAUUAGAGCGGCCCGCGUCUGAUUAGCUAGUUGGUGAGGUAACGGCUCACCAAGGCGACGAUCAGUAGCUGGUCUGAGAGGAUGACCAGCCACACUGGGACUGAGACACGGCCCAGACUCCUACGGGAGGCAGCAGUGGGGAAUCUUGCGCAAUGGGCGAAAGCCUGACGCAGCCAUGCCGCGUGAAUGAUGAAGGUCUUAGGAUUGUAAAAUUCUUUCACCGGGGACGAUAAUGACGGUACCCGGAGAAGAAGCCCCGGCUAACUUCGUG